rnacentral:rRNA from 1 species
UACGAAGGGGGCUAGCGUUGCUCGGAAUCACUGGGCGUAAAGGGUGCGUAGGCGGGUCUUUAAGUCAGGGGUGAAAUCCUGGAGCUCAACUCCAGAACUGCCUUUGAUACUGAAGAUCUUGAGUUCGGGAGAGGUGAGUGGAACUGCGAGUGUAGAGGUGAAAUUCGUAGAUAUUCGCAAGAACACCAGUGGCGAAGGCGACUCUUUGGCCUGUAACUGACGCUGAGGCGCGAAAGCGUGGGGAGCAAACAGG